rnacentral:rRNA from 1 species
GACGAACGCUGGCGGCGUGCCUAAUACAUGCAAGUAGAACGCUGAAACUUGGUGCUUGCACCGAGCGGAUGAGUUGCGAACGGGUGAGUAACGCGUAGGUAACCUGCCUGGUAGCGGGGGAUAACUAUUGGAAGCGAUAGCUAAUACCGCAUAAGAGUAGAUGUUGCAUGACAUUUGCUUAAAAGGUGCAAUUGCACCACUACCAGAUGGACCUGCGUUGUAUUAGCUAGUUGGUGGGGUAACGGCUCACCAAGGCGACGAUACAUAGCCGACCUGAGAGGGUGAUCGGCCACACUGGGACUGAGACACGGCCCAGACUCCUACGGGAGGCAGCAGUAGGGAAUCUUCGGCAAUGGACGGAAGUCUGACCGAGCAACGCCGCGUGAGUGAAGAAGGUUUUCGGAUCGUAAAGCUCUGUUGUAAGAGAAGAACGAGUGUGAGAGUGGAAAGUUCACACUGUGACGGUAUCUUACCAGAAAGGGACGGCUAACUACGUG